rnacentral:rRNA from 1 species
UUUUAAUUGAGAGUUUGAUCCUGGCUCAGGACGAACGCUGGCGGCGUGCUUAACACAUGCAAGUCGAGCGAUGAAGUUCCUUCGGGAACGGAUUAGCGGCGGACGGGUGAGUAACACGUGGGUAACCUGCCUCAUAGAGGGGAAUAGCCUUUCGAAAGGAAGAUUAAUAC